rnacentral:tRNA from 1 species
GGGGCUUUGUUUCAGAGGUAGAGCUUCUGUUUGGGAUGCAGAAGGUCCCAGGUUCAAUCCCCAGCAACUCCA